UACGUAGGGUGCGAGCGUUAAUCGGAAUUACUGGGCGUAAAGCGUGCGCAGGCGGUUCGUUGUGUCGGUGGUGAAAGCCCCGGGCUCAACCUGGGAAUGGCCGUUGAAACUGGCGAACUGGAGUGUGGCAGAGGGGGGUGGAAUUCCGCGUGUAGCAGUGAAAUGCGUAGAGAUGCGGAGGAACACCGAUGGCGAAGGCAGCCCCCUGGGCUGACACUGACGCCUCAGGCACGAAAGCGUGGGGGAGCAAACAGG
rnacentral:rRNA from 1 species